rnacentral:rRNA from 1 species
UAGGGAAUCUUCCGCAAUGGGCGAAAGCCUGACGGAGCAACGCCGCGUGAGUGAUGAAGGUCUUCGGAUCGUAAAACUCUGUUAUUAGGGAAGAACAAAUGUGUAAGUAACUAUGCACGUCUUGACGGUACCUAAUCAGAAAGCCACGGCUAACUACGUGCCAGCAGCCGCGGUAAUACGUAGGUGGCAAGCGUUAUCCGGAAUUAUUGGGCGUAAAGCGCGCGUAGGCGGUUUUUUAAGUCUGAUGUGAAAGCCCACGGCUCAACCGUGGAGGGUCAUUGGAAACUGGAAAACUUGAGUGCAGAAGAGGAAAGUGGAAUUCCAUGUGUAGCGGUGAAAUGCGCAGAGAUAUGGAGGAACACCAGUGGCGAAGGCGUCUUUCUGGUCUGUAACUGACGCUGAUGUGCGAAAGCGUGGGGAUCAAACAGG